rnacentral:rRNA from 1 species
UACGGGGGAUGCAAGUGUUAUCCGGAAUAAUUGGGCGUAAAGCGUCUGUAGGUGGUUGACCAAGUCUGUUGUUAAAAAUCAGGGCUUAACCCUGAUCCGGCAACAGAAACUAGUAAACUUGAGUACGGUAGGGGCAGAGGGAAUUCUCGGUGUAGUGGUGAAAUACGUAGAUAUCGAGAAGAACACCAAUAGCGAAAGCACUCUGCUAGGCCGCAACUGACACUGAGGGACGAAAGCUAGGGGAGCGAAUGGG